GAUGAACGCUAGCUACAGGCUUAACACAUGCAAGUCGAGGGGAAACGACAUCGAAAGCUUGCUUUUGAUGGGCGUCGACCGGCGCACGGGUGAGUAACGCGUAUCCAACCUGCCCAUCACUUGGGAAUAACCUUGCGAAAGUAAGACUAAUACCCAAUGACAUCCCACGAAGACAUCUGAAUGGGAUUAAAGAUUUAUCGGUGAUGGAUGGGGAUGCGUCUGAUUAGCUUGUUGGCGGGGUAACGGCUCACCAAGGCAACGAUCAGUAGGGGUUCUGAGAGGAAGGUCCCCCACAUUGGAACUGAGACACGGUCCAAACUCCUACGGGAGGCAGCAGUGAGGAAUAUUGGUCAAUGGGCGAGAGCCUGAACCAGCCAAGUAGCGUGCAGGAUGACGGCCCUAUGGGUUGUAAACUGCUUUUAUAAGGGAAUAAAGUGGGUCUCGUGAGACUUUUUGCAUGUACCUUAUGAAUAAGGACCGGCUAAUUCCGUG
rnacentral:rRNA from 1 species